rnacentral:rRNA from 1 species
AACGAACGCUGGCGGCAGGCUUAACACAUGCAAGUCGAGCGCCCCGCAAGGGGAGCGGCAGACGGGUGAGUAACGCGUGGGGAUCUGCCUAGUGGUACGGAACAACACGGGGAAACUCGUGCUAAUACCGUAUAAGUCCUUCGGGAGAAAGAUUUAUCGCCAUUAGAUGAACCCGCGUCUGAUUAGCUAGUUGGUGAGGUAACGGCUCACCAAGGCGACGAUCAGUAGCUGGUCUGAGAGGAUGAUUAGCCACACUGGGACUGAGACACGGCCCAGACUCCUACGGGAGGCAGCAGUGGGGAAUAUUGGACAAUGGGCGCAAGCCUGAUCCAGCCAUGCCGCGUGAGUGAUGAAGGCCUUAGGGUUGUAAAGCUCUUUCGCUAGGGAAGAUAAUGACGGUACCUAGAUAAGAAGCCCCGGCUAACUUCGUGCCAGCCGCCGCAGUAAUAC